rnacentral:SRP_RNA from 1 species
CGCACUAGUCGGGGAGUUAGCGGUGUCCUGUACCUGCAAUCCGCUAUAGCAGGGAUGAAUUCCCACACCCGGAUGCGUAUGAAUAUUGCCUGCCCUUUAUGAGGGGUGUUGAGAGAUCGGUCUUGCGCAACGGUAUCCCGUGAACCAUGUCAGGUGGGGAACCAAGCAGCAUUAAGCGGACCUUACCGUGUGCCGCGAGGUUGCCGUUCUUGAGCUUUCGAGUAGAG